rnacentral:rRNA from 1 species
UACGGGGGGGGCAAGCGUUGUUCGGAAUUACUGGGCGUAAAGGGCUCGUAGGCGGCCAACUAAGUCAGACGUGAAAUCCCUCGGCUUAACCGGGGAACUGCGUCUGAUACUGGAUGGCUCGAGUUUGGGAGAGGGAUGCGGAAUUCCAGGUGUAGCGGUGAAAUGCGUAGAUAUCUGGAGGAACACCGGUGGCGAAGGCGGCAUCCUGGACCAACACUGACGCUGAGUGAGCGAAAGCGUGGGGAGCGAACAGG